AAGAAACAAAUAAAAAGAAAGAAGAGACUUUGAAUAAUGCGUAUAGAUGCUUCUCAUGUAUGAUUUUGUCGUGUUCACAUCUUUUAAUUAGAUUUUCGGUUUUCGGUUUCCA
rnacentral:ribozyme from 1 species